GAUCUGGCUGGGUGGUCUUGCCGCAAGGUAAGCACUGCUCUGGUCGGAUCUUUCCUUCUGGGGAACCAGUGUGCUCUUAAUUGAGUGCGCUGGGGAUCCAGGACUUUUACUUUGAAAAAAUUAGAGUGUUUAAAGCAGGCUCGCGCUUGAAUACAUUAGCAUGGAAUAAUGAAAUAGGAC
rnacentral:rRNA from 1 species